GAAGCAGAACAGUGCCAAGCAGUAUUGCAGCACUGUGAGAGCCAGUCAGCCCUUGCUUUUUUGCUCCAGCUAGCUGGGAACUCAGCAGAGCCACUGCUCCUCGUCAUGGCAGGAUAAUCUCCUGCAGGAGAUGCUGCUACACUGAUCCUGCUGCUGUGGUCCCAGGUCAGAGCAGCCAGGAUCCCCCCCAUCCUGCUGUGGUGGCCAUUUGUCCAUGUGAGAAGCAGCUGCUCCUGGCUCCCAGCUCCUUUGGAGCUCAGUGGCUACCUGGGAGAUGUUUUCCAUCUCCAAUUUUUGUGGAGCCUGACUGGCAAGUAAGAAGUUGUCUUCUCUCCAGAGAAAAUAAUCUGUUCUGAGCAAACAAGGGAUACCACUGAAGUACCACUGGCAUAUUUUGGACUGAAGGCACCAGGGAGAAAGUACCUUGAGAUGAAGCAAACUGAGAGAGAAGCCAUGAAAGUCACGUUGAAGGCAAAAGUUUUGUGCUGUCUUGGAUCAGUGAAUUUCCUGAUAGAGACAGAUGCUUGUACUCUACCAAGAGGAGCUACCUCUAGACAAAAAGCUAAAGACCACAUUUGGCACUGUCAAAUACUCAUCAUCCUUUUAGUACCUCAAAGUGUAAAUCUGAUCAUGCUCUGUAACAGUCUCAAUGAACUUUUGAGCUUACAGCCCUUUUAUCUUGAAUAACAUUUUUUCCUGUUUCUGUUUGGCAAUCUGAUUUUAUUAGGAUUUGUCAGUGUAGUCAAGUGUGCAUCUGAAUCGCCUGAGAAAUUUAACAGUGCAAGUAAUGGAGAAUCAUGUCCUGUUGCAUUUAGAGGCAUCUGCCCUUAAAUAGAGAGGGUUUUUCUGCCACAUGCAAUAAUUUCUAUCUUUCUAUCAGAAAACUGAUAUAACCUACCUUUGUAUGGAAAAGAGUGACUAAACACUGCAUUUCUCUGAGUCUACACAGGAGAAAUAUUGCUACAAAACUACAUUGGUGUUACUUGUUUAUUUUAACAUCUCGUGACAGAGUGAGAAAGAAACAUUUUUCACAAAGGAAAAGGAGACACCACCCCCCCCAGUUCUCCCACUGCUGUAGAAGCACCAGCAUAUAGUCAAGAAUUUUCCAUAUCAGUCAAACUGGAGUCGAAGAUGCUUUGAACAAACCACAUGGACCUCAGCCUGACACCCUUGUGCCCCAGGUGAAAUCCCAGCUAACCAUUUCA